GCCAGUAUGGCAUAGUGGUUUGAGCAUUGGACUACGACUCUGGGGACAAGGCUUCAAUUCCCAGUUCAGCCA